rnacentral:rRNA from 1 species
CCCUUCGGGGUGUGACUGCGUACCUUUUGUAUAAUGGGUCAGCGACUUAUAUUCUGUAGCAAGGUUAACCGAAUAGGGGAGCCGGAGGGAAACCGAGUCUUAAUUGGGCGUUAAGUUGCAGGGUAUAGACCCGAAACCCGGUGAUCUAGCCAUGGGCAGGUUGAAGGUUGGGUAACACUAACUGGAGGACCGAACCGACUAAUGUUGAAAAAUUAGCGGAUGACCUGUGGCUGGGGGUGAAAGGCCAAUCAAACCGGGAGAUAGCUGGUUCUCCCCGAAAGCUAUUUAGGUAGCGCCUCGUGAAUUCAUCUCCGGGGGUAGAGCACUGUUUCGGCUAGGGGGCCAUCCCGGCUUACCAACCCGAUGCAAACUGCGAAUACCGGAGAAUGUUAUCACGGGAGACACACGGCGGGUGCUAACGUCCGUCGUGAAGAGGGAAACAACCCAGACCGCCAGCUAAGGUCCCAAAGUCAUGGUUAAGUGGGAAACGAUGUGGGAAGGCCCAGACAGCCAGGAUGUUGGCUUAGAAGCAGCCAUCAUUUAAAGAAAGCGUAAUAGCUCACUGGUCGAGUCGGCCUGCGCGGAAGAUGUAACGGGGCUAAACCAUGCACCGAAGCUGCGGCAGCGACACUGUGUGUUGUUGGGUAGGGGAGCGUUCUGUAAGCCUGUGAAGGUGGCCUGUGAGGGUUGCUGGAGGUAUCAGAAGUGCGAAUGCUGACAUAAGUAACGAUAAAGCGGGUGAAAAGCCCGCUCGCCGGAAGACCAAGGGUUCCUGUCCAACGUUAAUCGGGGCAGGGUGAGUCGACCCCUAAGGCGAGGCCGAAAGGCGUAGUCGAUGGGAAACGGGUUAAUAUUCCCGUACUUGGUGUUACUGCGAAGGGGGGACGGAGAAGGCUAUGUUGGCCGGGCGACGGUUGUCCCGGUUUAAGCGUGUAGGUGUGUGUUCCAGGUAAAUCCGGUUCACUUUAACACUGAGGCGUGAUGACGAGGCACUACGGUGCUGAAGCAACAAAUGCCCUGCUUCCAGGAAAAGCCUCUAAGCAUCAGGUAACAUCAAAUCGUACCCCAAACCGACACAGGUGGUCAGGUAGAGAAUACCAAGGCGCUUGAGAGAACUCGGGUGAAGGAACUAGGCAAAAUGGUGCCGUAACUUCGGGAGAAGGCACGCUGACACGUAGGUGAAGUGAUUUACUCAUGGAGCUGAAGUCAGUCGAAGAUACCAGCUGGCUGCAACUGUUUAUUAAAAACACAGCACUGUGCAAACACGAAAGUGGACGUAUACGGUGUGACGCCUGCCCGGUGCCGGAAGGUUAAUUGAUGGGGUCAGCGCAAGCGAAGCUCCUGAUCGAAGCCCCGGUAAACGGCGGCCGUAACUAUAACGGUCCUAAGGUAGCGAAAUUCCUUGUCGGGUAAGUUCCGACCUGCACGAAUGGCGUAAUGAUGGCCAGGCUGUCUCCACCCGAGACUCAGUGAAAUUGAACUCGCUGUGAAGAUGCAGUGUACCCGCGGCAAGACGGAAAGACCCCGUGAACCUUUACUAUAGCUUGACACUGAACAUUGAGCCUUGAUGUGUAG